rnacentral:rRNA from 1 species
UACAGAGGUCCCAAGCGUUGUUCGGAUUCAUUGGGCGUAAAGGGGGCGUAGGCGGCGCGGUAAGUCGGGUGUGAAAUCUCGGGGCUUAACUCCGAAACUGCAUUCGAUACUGCCGUGCUUGAGGACUGGAGAGGAGACUGGAAUUUACGGUGUAGCGGUGAAAUGCGUAGAUAUCGUAAGGAAGACCAGUGGCGAAGGCGGGUCUCUGGACAGUUCCUGACGCUGAGGCACGAAGGCCAGGGGAGCAAACGGG